AUGGAUCGGAGAACGGUAUCGGAAGCUCAGUAAGGGAACACGACGUUGGUCGUGCUUCUAUCUAUCGGGUUGCGCGUGCUGCGGACGAUUAAUUAACUGCAGAUUGCGCCGGGUAUGCGGGGUGUACAGGUUCAACCCCUGGGUUAUACAGACUCGAAGGCAUGUAUUGGUCUACGGUAUGCCAUCGAGGAACCCCUAACGUGUCCUGAACACUGCACACUGCACGCCGAACUCAGGAGAGCCUCGUUCUCCGAUCGAUCGAUCACACCGAGUCCGUGUACACUUGGCUGCAAUGACUCUGAGAGGGUUGAUUUUUUCGGUGAGUCAGUUAUGUUGGCAACGCAGACACCGACCGCAGCGCCGCACCCGGACGGCUGCGAAACAACCUCGAAACGAUCGAUCCUUUUUUCCUCUCCCCAUGGGAGCCCUGCAAAAGGGGUUCGGAUUUUGCUCUCCCUGCAGCAUCGGAAGGGCGCUGGAUGGCGGGUUACGAGAAGGGACGGCGCCUCGCUCCUACCGGGGACAUAAAUUUUCCCCAACUUUGGAAACGAAUGGUUACCUAACAGCCAACGGCUUUCGCCCACGCAGCUCCCAAGACUGGGAUUAAAUUUCCCCUAUGGGCUGUUGUAAUACGCGCGAGCAAGAAGUUAUACGGAAAAAGCAGAAGCAGAGGAAAAAACGAAGAGAAGAAAACACGAGAGGGGAGCAAGAAGGCUUAAGGGGCACAUCCAUCUUGACCGUUCACAACUGGAACAAUUUUUCAUCAUUUGCAGGGCGAAAGAAAUGAGGCGACAUUCAGCUUUGGUGAUCGUUACUUGACCAAAGUAAGAGAGAAAAAAAAAAAAGAACCA